rnacentral:rRNA from 1 species
AUUGAACGCUGGCGGCAGGCCUAACACAUGCAAGUCGAGCGGAUGAAGGGAGCUUGCUCCUGGAUUCAGCGGCGGACGGGUGAGUAAUGCCUAGGAAUCUGCCUGGUAGUGGGGGAUAACGUCCGGAAACGGGCGCUAAUACCGCAUACGUCCUGAGGGAGAAAGUGGGGGAUCUUCGGACCUCACGCUAUCAGAUGAGCCUAGGUCGGAUUAGCUAGUUGGUGGGGUAAAGGCCUACCAAGGCGACGAUUCGUAACUGGUCUGAGAGGAUGAUCAGUCACACUGGAACUGAGACACGGUCCAGACUCCUACGGGAGGCAGCAGUGGGGAAUAUUGGACAAUGGGCGAAAGCCUGAUCCAGCCGUGCCGCGUGUGUGAAGAAGGUCUUCGGAUUGUAAAGCACUUUAAGUUGGGAGGAAGGGCAGUAAGUUAAUACCUUGCUGUUUUGACGUUACCAACAGAAUAAGCACCGGCUAACUUCGUG